UUUGACGAUUAGAUGGCUGUUCUGCUCCGUAAGAACGAUAUGUUUUCUGAAUGUCACUCUCGUUACUGGAGAGAAGAGAGUUUCAUUAUUAUAAGGUACCUUUGAAAAAGGUGAAUCCCUUAUGAGUUAGUUCAUUUUAUCAAUGAGAGAGAUACGUUCUUGAAAAUAAUAAUUUCAUCCUGAAGGAAAACGAUAAACUGAAUGAUAACCAUUGAUAGUCAGAUGAAUUAUCCUGUCGUAUAUCAACGCUUCAUCAGAUGUCCAAAUUUUGGUUGUGAAUACCAAGGACUUGAACAAUACUCACUUGAUCAUGGAAUGAUUUGUCCAUUCAGACCUGUUCUUUGUCCACUGAGAUUCCAUAUUUUGUGCACAUGGAGAGGUCCUAUGAAAUUUAUAACAGGACACUGUGUAUCGCAUCAUACUAAGUAUGUUUCAAUCAGAAAUAUUGAUAUUACGGUUCCAAGUUUAGAAAAUAUUGAAUCUUUUGGUGGUGGAACUGUUUUACAUCUUGCAUUCGACAGAAUAUUUGGUUUUUCUUUUAUGUUUCGCACAAGUGAUGAAAUGUUCUGCUCAGGUUGCUAUUACUUUGGAGAAUCAACGGAAGAAGGGCUUUUUCGCUAUGAAAUAACUUUCAUCAGAGGAAAUAAUAGCACCCUUGUUCCAAUUUUUAGUUCUAUCUGUUACUCUAUGAAAUUCAAUUCUGAUAUUUUGGACACGAGUUGCUAUUCGGAAGUCUCUUAUUCUGAUUGGGCUAAGUUCUGUGAUGAUUCUGGAGCAUUGAAUAUCCAGGUGAAGUUAUUUUACAACAGCAUGGAACUUUCUACCCGCCUGUGAACCAAGGUGACUGGAUAUCGGGUUGUGUGCUGAAAUCAUGAAUCAUUGAGAAUUGUGUUUAUUGUUAGUCAUCAUUUUCAGUUAUAGAACAUUUUAUAUAGUUUUCUCGUACACUAAAUUUUCCAUUAAGCUCUCAAUGUGAUGAAUUAUAAUAAAAAUAAUACCAGUGACUGAGUUGCUACUUAUAAUUUAAUCAAUGUGUAGAAUAUUAAGUAUUAGAAUUUGUUUGUUCCUUUCAAUAAAUUUGUUCGAUACAAG